GGAUAUACAUAUUCCGUCAUGGCAACUGCUGCGCCAACAUAAAAUGCUUAAACAAUUUUUAUAGGUAAAUAUUUACGGUUCAAUGUUUUCCCGUUUUUUCUCCGCCCGUAGAUCUUUUGGUUCCAUUUUCGGAUGGGAUUUCCUCCCACACAGUGCCUGGUGCUAAUCGACAGACGUCAACUUUGAUUGAAUUUAAACACGGAAUGUUUUUCACUCGUGCCGAGCAGUUAUCAAAUUUAUGAAUAACUAAUGAAAAACAAUCCCAGCCCCCACUUGCCCCCCCUAUCAAGCGAAAUGAAUGGGUAUUAAUUGAUUGGGGCUAUUUUUUGUACAUACAAAUAUGGAUUUUUAUUUGAUACAUUUAGUGGCAGUUAAGCAACGGAAAUAAGCGGUCUUAUAGUUAAGGAAACUCCUGCGAUUCGUGCAUGACUUUAUUCAAAAAUGUCUCAAAUAUGUUACCCGUACUACUGAUUGUGAGUUACAGCUGAAAAACAGAGUAAAGGCGAAAUAGGGAGACACUAUGAGAGAUGGAGAUACAUGGAAUGGAAUGCAUGCAAAUUGGACAUUGCACUGAUGAGCGAUGUGUCUCUGGCACGGUCGCUGUUGGACUUUCUGCCUCGUCUGCUUCGGCAGUAGCUUGUUUAAUUGCAACUAAAAGCGGAAGGCAACAGCAGGCGGAGGAGGAGCAGGAGCAGUGGAGCGGAGCGGAGGAACCAACGUUGACUGCUCCCCUGAACUGUGUCAAAAACAAGGGCCAGAACAGCAGGGCAGCAGUAAAAAAUAUACGGAACGAGACUAAAGAUUCACACACAAGUUUGUUGUUUAGUUCUGUUUGGUUUUUUGUUUGUUUGUUUGUUAGUCCAUCUGUGCAGGUGUGCGUGUGUUUCUGUUUCUGUUUGUUCGCUGCCCGUUGCUUCCUGCAAUUUGCGCUCUGGCAAAGCUUCCUUUUUAAGCCCGUGCCACGGACCAGGAGCUGGAGCAGGAGCCGGUGCCGCAGGUGUUGGACUGAAGCGGCAGCGGCAGCAUCGGUAUCAGCGGAGGUGAGAAACAGUGUUCCAAAAGCACUUUUUAAAGUCCCAAGAUAUUGUUAUUACUAGCGGUUUUGAGUGGAUCCGCCACACUAGACGUGAACCACUGUGCACUGGCGUAGACGGUGACUGCGGCGGCGGCAACAUCCUCUGCUAUCUGCUUGCUGCAGCCGAACAGUCGGCGCGAGAGGUGCUCGGAAGAUGAGGAGGAGAGGAGAAGAGUGGAGAACGGAUGGGUGGGUGGGUGUGGGGUUGGGACAAACAGAAACCGACGCGGCUUUCCUUUUUGACACACCAUUUUGCAUGUUGCAUGAAGCUGCCAUGUGUGUGUGCGUGUCUUCUUCUAUCCCACUCUGUAUCCCUCCUUCUCUCUCUCGCUCUGUGUGCAUGGCGCAUAUGUCACUUGUCUAAAUAGCAGCGACACCGUUCACCUGUAUCAGUGUGUGUGUGUGUGUAGUGUGCUUGGAACUGCCCGACGCACAGUGGUCUCCACUCAAGUACAUUGAUCGGAGCCUUCAGGGAAUACCCAAUCCAAUAAUUAUAGGCUUUGCAGCUUAUAGAUUUCCUAAAUUAUAAUAAAUAAAAAUACCACUUUUUCGGAAAAAAGUCCCACUGUGCACCGGAUGUUGCUGAAAAGGGGAAUGGUGGGUGGGGUGGAAGCAAUGGAUGAACGGGGGUCAGGAUGACACCGGACUGCACUGUCCAUGCAUGCAAAUGCAACAUUUGCAACUGUUCUUUCUCUUUCGUUCGCUCACAUUUUUUCUUACUUUUCGCCGACAAGGUGGCAACACUGACACCCGGCAACGGCAAAGACAACUACAACUACAACUACAGCGGCAAACCGGCAGUAAUUUGGCCACCUUGUCUAGGUGUGUUUGUUUAGAGGAGCAGAAAGGUACAGCACAGAGGGCAGCAGUAGAGUGCGUUGCAACAUGGCAUAGGAGAGACGGAAAAAAGCCAGAGACGAAGCAGAAAGCUAAAUGGAAACCGAAAAGCGGGAUGGACAGGAACAGGAAUCUAAAUGUGGGGAAUGAACAGACAUAACUAUUAAACGAAUCUCCAGAAUUGGACAAACACACA
rnacentral:sRNA from 1 species